GCCCCGGAGGCACUUGCUGUCUUGCCUGAGGCCGGACAGAGCGCGGCGCGUACCUGAAGACAGAAGCCAGGCUCGGAAGUGGGCAACGUGACUCGGCCGUUUCCCGUGACUCGCAGUCAGGUGCAGGGGCGGCCGGUCACCGCCUGUCGGACGCGCUAGGGCACAGCCGGGGUCCAAGGCCGCCCUUGCCACCAAGACGACCCUUCGCAGGUAACAAACCCCGGUUUGGGUGCCUGGUCACCCCUGCCUCCGCCGCCAGCCCCGCAGAGCCGCUUAUACAACAACGGGGCGGUCCCCCACCCUCACGCGGGGCUCGAGGCGGCCUGCCAGCGCGGCCGGAAUUAAACUCAGAUACCUUGGGUCCCCGGCUCUGACGACCGCCGCCCGGGGCAGAGCGGGCCGGGGGUUAUUCCUCUCUUGGGCCGCCGCGCCGGGCUUGCGCUGGGUCCAAACCCAUGAGCGGCCACUAGCCGCCAGGCGAGUUACGAAUUCUUGCUGCUGCCCGCCGGACCCGACCCAGGCCCGUCCGAAGGGCGCGUGACCGAGUACUACAACGCACCCGGCCGCACUCACCUCUCAACAGUGUCCGCAGAGUCCACCUCUUCCUCGGCUGCCAUGGCCGCUGUCGCUGCACGAAUGGAGACAGCUACCUCGAAGCCGGCUGACAGGCCGACUGGCCUGCCAGGCGCUGCCGCCGCUCUUAAGACUGCUCGCCCGCGCAUGCGUCCUCCGCCUACUCGCUCACGGGGCGCGCGGUCGCGCGGUGCGCGUGCCCGGCAGCAAAGCUUACGUCACCACGCCCGACGUGCUUCUGGCGUGAGCACGGGUUAGGACAGUCAAAACUUAGAGGUGUUGGUGUGACCUGCCCGGCAGGGUUGUGUAGUAAUUUCAGUAAUAACUGUGUUAAUGCAUAAUCCCGCUGGUAUUGACCAUCUGGUGCUGGGUACUGGCCAGGUAUGUGGCAGUACCCUGGGAACUGAAGUGCGACCCUUCCCUGAAAGAGUCAUGGUAUUAUCUGACGGAUUCCGCAAUGGCAAAUGGAAAUGAGGCAAGUUGCAUGCUGUCCUCCAUGGUCUCUAGACCACAAAGAACUGAAAACUGCCAUUAUACCUCCAAGAUCAAGUGUGCCAUACAGUUGGUUGACUGGUGCCCCAAUGGUUUCAGGAUUGGGUUUUGUUUCUAAACCCCAACAGUGGUUCCCCAGGGGAAAUGCUGAGUACCACCACCACCAUCACAGAUUCAUGGGCCUUUAUCACAGGUUUGCCAAGUAAGAACUUGCACACCAGAAUGAAGCUGCUGUGAGUGUUUCAGUGGAACAGCUUCCGUCUUUCAGUCACUUCAAGAAAUGCCUCAGCUCCAGAGAGCAACCUCACCUAAGAACAUGACCUUCAGGGUAAGACCUAUAUAUAAUGACUGAUGGCGGCAAAGUAUAAAGGCCCAGUAAUUUUGACCCAGAGUCAGACAACUCUGAUGAGCCAUUUCUAUACCAGUCUCUGUGGCUGAGGCUGUCGAGUCUGUAUCACAGCUCAACUUCUCCCUCUCCCCCAUCUCACUUUCUCCCCUCCUGUGCCAGUUUGAAUAUAUUGUGUCCCCCAAAUGCCAUUAUAUUUGAUAUAAUCUUGU